AUGAUACAUUUGUUGUCAUACGAAGAUAUAGAACCUUCACGGCGUGCUACAUAUAUAAUAACACUGCGUGUUAUUGUUGAUAUAUUCGAUCACUUGUUACCAUUUGUACGGCGACAUUCGGAAUGCUAUGUCGUCGGAUUAUUCUUCGAGAAACGUGAUUAUUUCCUACAUUUAUUAUAAUUAGCGAUUCGUAAGCGUAUCAUAAUUAACCAUAUUUUCGUGAAUGAUGUCAAAUUUUUGCCUUACUCAAAGUUAUUGUGAUAUCUUGACUCGUUGUCACGAAGUACAAUCCUCAUACAAAAGGGAAUAUUAGUUCGCGAUCGUGGAAUUUGCGGGAGUGCCGCGCAAAGUGUCGCGCGUCCGUAUUCAUUGUGUCGCGAAUAAUUCGUUGCGUCUUAAUUAGUUUGAUAAUGACGUACACGAAAUGUCGCGCGUCCGAAUCCGGAAGUGCCGUGCAAAGUGUCGCGCGUCUGUUCUUAUCGUGCCGUAUAAUGAACAGUAAUGAACUGUAAUGAACUGUAACCAUAUUUCCAGAUGAGUGCAACGAACUCUGUAGGUGUAAUGAAUCCUGACAAUCUAAGAGGAGGAAGUCUAGGAAGCUUCGGGCAACGGCAGAGCAAUCUUGUAACUUGGUGUCACUCUAAAUCUGAGACAGCGCGCAGUAAAAACGAUUCGAUUAAGAAAACAAUCAAUUACUCGCGGGGCGGGCAUUUAAUUAAUAUACGUUCGCGUUUAGUCAGCGAAUUGUAACGGAAGUACUCGUAAAAAGAGAGGAGAGAUAGGAAGGAUGUUGCCGCUUCGGGGUUUACGUACGAACGACACGGCUGGCCCAGCACGUGUGCAACGUCCGUUAUGGAAUCCAUUACGAGAUAGCGGGAUGCCGCCUGCGGUUUGCAAUGAAGAUACCGAUAUUUAUGGAUCUAACAAGCUCACCACUGAAGUAUAUUCGCCAUUACGUUCGCGAGGAUUAUCGGCCAACGGAAGCCGCCGCUCUUUGAAACCAUAAUCCCGCGUUCCUUCGAGUCGAUAAUGGAAUCGCUUUUAAUGCCGCAUGGAUGAUUCUCUCCGAAUCACGUAAUGGUAAAUUACCCCAGUUCGGAGAGAGCGCUCCUAAUAAUUUGACGUCUAAAGAAGGCUUCAGAUGUGUGGGAGAAUUCUGCUUCAUAUCGAUCGCGUGUUUUAAAUGGGAUGAAUGGAAUAUUCGGAUGUUCUUUUUAUCUAAAAUCUAAUUGAACAAAUACAGAUAUCAAAAUUUUUAACACUUUAUAUUGUGCGAAAGAUGCGUCCAAUGAUUGAAACACUAUAUCUAAUAGAAAGAGUACAAAAUGAGUUCUAUAUCUCUCGGGGCUCUUUCAUUCGAUACUCGGGAGUUCGCUGACGAUCUCUUAAUAUUUGUACCAAAGUGUAAUUAAAAUCGUGAAAAGCGACGGCCAAUGUCGGCCGUAAUAUAGAGCCUUCAAAGAGCGCGAUGGAGUGUGCAAACGAGAUGAACACUGAUAGAAGUACGCGAGAGUUUCAGUAGUUCGGUUAUACCGGUCUUUAAUGCCGGCUUCGUUAGUUGCAGAUUGUCGGUGAUAUAUUUUCUCUCUUUCUCCCGCCGUUCUUCUUUUCUCUCUUUCUCUUAUUUUUUUUUCAUGACGAAAGUCAUCGCGGAUAAUCCGAGGUUGCAGCUUUUCAUCGGCGAAAAAUGCACCGUCUAAUGGUGCACUCCUAGGCAAGAACUCUAAUGUCAUUAGCGCGCCGAACAAAUACGCACUUAACGAGCGACGUUUUAAACAGAUUCGUUAUGUCAAUUUUAACGUCCUUAGUUCGUAACACGGUCGUUGCGAGAUUUCGAAAACGCGCUCUCACUAAUUAUUCACGGUUAUGUAAUUUUACAAUUUCGUAUAAUUUAAUAAUUAAACAUCUCGUUAAAUGCUUCUGUUGAGAAAGAAUUUAGUUAUUUUUAUGGCUGAUUUAUAUAUCUGUAUCGUAUAAAUAUUUUAUCCAUAACUAAAAUUCUCAUGUAAAUUCUGCGAAAUUUAAAACAUGAAAGUUUUUCUUUUGCUUGAUAAGACAAAAAGGAUAUAAAUUUUUAUUUUAGUAAUUUUAGUUUUGAUUAUAUAUAUAUAAUCUACCUGUUUGUAUGAUAUUGACGUGAUGCAUAAAGCGCGGUACGAACUUCAAGUUACAAAGAUUAAGUAAUCCUGCGAGAAAACGGAAGAUAACCAGCAAAGGGAGCGGCGGAAUGCAAUUUCAGUUCCAGAAUUUCUGACAGACCGAUAUCUCAACUAUUUGGAAGGGAGGUAUCUGGGCCAUUACUUUUCCGUGUACUACCGGCCGCAGCUGUAAGAUACCCCCGAUAAAGACGAGACCAUUAUCUCCGACUCCUACAUUCAAUUUACCGUCGCGGUUACUGUUAUCGUCGACUACAUGCCGCGAAUUCAGUCUUAUCACUAAUUGAUUCACAUGCUACUUUUCUUGUAUCAUUUUUGUAAGUAAG